AAAGAUGUGACUAGUUGACGAAGUUGGGCCGCAAAUAAGGCCGAAGGCAUUUUAGCGAAUAGGGGCGAUUCCAGUGUGGAGGCGCUGCUGCUAAUAUCCUUAACCCAAAACCCUAAAAUUCGAAAUGACACAAGUACUGAAGAUGAAGCAAUUAUAUAAGUAGAAGUGGAGUAGCGCUGCCACUUACCUCAAUUGCCCAUUAGCAUCUCCAUCAAUCAUGAUGGUUCAUGCGUACCAAUUGGGAAUUUUCAGUCGUUUUCUCAUUCCAAAAUGCAAGGAAAAGGAAUUGUUUAAAAAUUCUGAAAAAGAGGAAGGAAAAGGAAAAUGUGGCAAUGAUGAGAAACUGAAAACUCUCCUUUAUGGAUUGAGCUUCUCUCUCAAAUGAUCAUACAUUUGAGAGGCAACGAUGAUUUGUUCUUCAAGCACUUUUGAGCCACUUCCAGUUUCUUUCUUAAACAACACUUGAUGUUAUUUCAUUGAUUACUAAUGUAUAUUCUCUUCUUAUCUUGCAAAGAUUGUGUCCAAUUGGGAAUAGGCUGUGGAAGACUGCCAUUGUUAUAUCAAGAAGGGGAAAGCCGAAUAAAUGAAUUGUUAUAUCGUUAUGAUAGUUAUAGAUAGUGAUAUCUUGCACUUAGAUUUUACUGUAAUUAACUCAUAUGUGUGGAAGUCCGAGAAGCAGGCAUGUAAUUGUUACACUGAAGGUUUGGAUGUCUAAGAAAAAGGUUACAGGCACUAAGGGAUGAAAUUCAUUUGCUUUCGGGUGGGGUGUGAUCUGAAGGUAUCUGGUUAUUGAGAAUGCCCGCCUGGUGAAGGCCAAAAUGGGAGCAAUGAAAGAGGAUAUGGUUCAAGAUUAUUUUCGUGUGGACAGUAGACCAGUCCAAGUACGGGGAAAGAAGUUUAUGACUAGCGACGAUGUGCGUGGAGUUUGUUAAUUUAUCUUGUUAAGUUACUGAGUUUUCUUUAUACAAUUAAUUUGUUGUAAUUGUGCAACCUAGAGGCGUGCUUCUAAAAUUUUCAUUCACGUACCAAUGGAACAGGGAGCGGCAAUAAAAAGAUUAAAUUCAUUAUUCAA